rnacentral:rRNA from 2 species
UGCGAAUGGCUCAUUAUAUAAGUUAUCGUUUAUUUGAUAGCACAUUUCUACUUGGAUAACCGUGGUAAUUCUAGAGCUAAUACAUGCUAAAAAUCCCGACUCCGGAAGGGAUGUAUUUAUUAGAUUAAAAACCAAUGCCCUCUGGGCUCUCUGGUGAUUCAUAAUAACUUGGCGAAUCGCAUGGCCUUGCGCCGGCGAUGGUUCAUUCAAAUUUCUUCCCUAUCAACUUUCGAUGUUUGGGUAGUGGCCAAACAUGGUUACAACGGGUAACGGAGGGUUAGGGCUCGACCCCGGAGAAGGAGCCUGAGAAACGGCUACUACAUCCAAGGAAGGCAGCAGGCGCGCAAAUUACCCAAUCCCGAUUCGGGGAGGUAGUGACAAUAAAUACUGAUACAGGGCUCUUUUGGGUCUUGUAAUUGGAAUGAGUACAAUUUAAAUCCCUUAACGAGGAACAAUUGGAGGGCAAGUCUGGUGCCAGCAGCCGCGGUAAUUCCAGCUCCAAUAGCGUAUAUUAAAGUUGUUGUGGUUAAAAAGCUCGUAGUUGAACCUUGGGCCUGGCUGGCCGGUCCGCCUCACCGCGUGUACUGGUCCGGCCGGGCCUUUCCCUCUGUGGAACCCCAUGCCCUUCACUGGGUGUGGCGGGGAAACAGGACUUUUACUUUGAAAAAAUUAGAGUGCUCCAGGCAGGCCUAUGCUCGAAUACAUUAGCAUGGAAUAAUGAAAUAGGACGUGCGGUUCUAUUUUGUUGGUUUCUAGGACCGCCGUAAUGAUUAAUAGGGACAGUCGGGGGCAUCAGUAUUCAAUUGUCAGAGGUGAAAUUCUUGGAUUUAUUGAAGACUAACUACUGCGAAAGCAUUUGCCAAGGAUGUUUUCAUUAAUCAGGAACGAAAGUUAGGGGAUCGAAGACGAUCAGAUACCGUCGUAGUCUUAACCAUAAACUAUGCCGACUAGGGAUCGGACGAUGUUAUUUUUUGACUCGUUCGGCACCUUACGAGAAAUCAAAGUGC